GCGUUGGUGGUUUAGUGGUAAAAUUCAUCGUUGCCAAGAAGUUGAUAUCUCCAACAGGAGUCCUCCCGUCAAGAGAGGCCUUCUGGGACCUCAGCACCAAGUUUCGAUGAGCCCCGGGUUCGAUUCCCGGCCGACGCA
rnacentral:tRNA from 2 species